AUUGAACGCUGGCGGCAGGCCUAACACAUGCAAGUCGAGCGGAUGACGGGAGCUUGCUCCUUGAUUCAGCGGCGGACGGGUGAGUAAUGCCUAGGAAUCUGCCUGGUAGUGGGGGACAACGUUUCGAAAGGAACGCUAAUACCGCAUACGUCCUACGGGAGAAAGCAGGGGACCUUCGGGCCUUGCGCUAUCAGAUGAGCCUAGGUCGGAUUAGCUAGUAGGUGAGGUAAUGGCUCACCUAGGCGACGAUCCGUAACUGGUCUGAGAGGAUGAUCAGUGACACUGGAACUGAGACACGGUCCAGACUCCUACGGGGGGCAGCAGUGGGGAAUAUUGGACAAUGGGCGAAAGCCUGAUCCAGCCAUGCCGCGUGUGUGAAGAAGGUCUUCGGAUUGUAAAGCACUUUAAGUUGGGAGGAAGGGCAGCAAGUUAAUACCUUGCUGUUUUGACGUUACCGACAGAAUAAGCACCGGCUAACUCUGUGCCAGCCGCCGCAGUAAUAC
rnacentral:rRNA from 1 species